rnacentral:sRNA from 1 species
UCGUUGCAAAAUAUCCACAAUGUGGCCCACCGAAUUGAGCAGGAAUUCCGAAUGGCUGAGUAUCACCUACAACAAUAUCUGCACCAAAUGAACCUGGAGGUGUAAGUAAUCCCAAUGCUAAUGGAUUUGCAUAUACGAUAAAUAAUGCUUUUUUAUCUUCAAUAAAGCUUUGAAUCUUUUCAAGAUCUUCAAUUGAACCGUAAAAGUUUGGAUAUUGUACUGCAACAGCUGCUGUUUCAUCAUCCACUGCUGCUUCUAAUUUUUUCAAAUCUGUAACAGUGCCAUCUAAAUCGAUUUCCA